rnacentral:rRNA from 1 species
UAAGCAGUAAAUGUGGAGCCGUAGCGAAAGCGAGUCUGAAUAGGGCGUUUAGUAUUUGGUCGUAGACCCGAAACCAGGUGAUCUACCCUUGGUCAGGUUGAAGUUCAGGUAACACUGAAUGGAGGACCGAACCGACUUACGUUGAAAAGUGAGCGGAUGAACUGAGGGUAGCGGAGAAAUUCCAAUCGAACCUGGAGAUAGCUGGUUCUCUCCGAAAUAGCUUUAGGGCUAGCCUCAAGUGAUGAUUAUUGGAGGUAGAGCACUGUUUGGACGAGGGGCCCCUCUCGGGUUACCGAAUUCAGACAAACUCCGAAUGCCAAUUAAUUUAACUUGGGAGUCAGAACAUGGGUGAUAAGGUCCGUGUUCGAAAGGGAAACAGCCCAGACCACCAGCUAAGGUCCCAAAAUAUAUGUUAAGUGGAAAAGGAUGUGGCGUUGCCCAGACAACUAGGAUGUUGGCUUAGAAGCAGCCAUCAUUUAAAGAGUGCGUAAUAGCUCACUAGUCGAGUGACACUGCGCCGAAAAUGUACCGGGGCUAAACAUAUUACCGAAGCUGUGGAUUGUCCUUUGGACAAUGGUAGGAGAGCGUUCUAAGGGCGUUGAAGCAUGAUCGUAAGGACAUGUGGAGCGCUUAGAAGUGAGAAUGCCGGUGUGAGUAGCGAAAGACGGGUGAGAAUCCCGUCCACCGAUUGACUAAGGUUUCCAGAGGAAGGCUCGUCCGCUCUGGGUUAGUCGGGUCCUAAGCUGAGGCCGACAGGCGUAGGCGAUGGAUAACAGGUUGAUAUUCCUGUACCACCUAUAAUCGUUUUAAUCGAUGGGGGGACGCAGUAGGAUAGGCGAAGCGUGCGAUUGGAUUGCACGUCUAAGCAGUAAGGCUGAGUAUUAGGCAAAUCCGGUACUCGUUAAGGCUGAGCUGUGAUGGGGAGAAGACAUUGUGUCUUCGAGUCGUUGAUUUCACACUGCCGAGAAAAGCCUCUAGAUAGAAAAUAGGUGCCCGUACCGCAAACCGACACAGGUAGUCAAGAUGAGAAUUCUAAGGUGAGCGAGCGAACUCUCGUUAAGG